CCCCUAGUAACUGCGAGUGAAGCGGGAAAAGCUCAAAUUUAAAAUCUGGCAGUCUUUGGCUGUCCGAGUUGUAAUCUAGAGAAGUGUUAUCCGCGCUGGACCGUGUACAAGUCUCCUGGAAUGGAGCGUCAUAGAGGGUGAGAAUCCCGUCUUUGACACGGACUACCAGGGCUUUGUGAUGCGCUCUCAAAGAGUCGAGUUGUUUGGGAAUGCAGCUCAAAAUGGGUGGUAAAUUCCAUCUAAAGCUAAAUAUUGGCGAGAGACCGAUAGCGAACAAGUACCGUGAGGGAAAGAUGAAAAGAACUUUGGAAAGAGAGUUAAACAGUACGUGAAAUUGCUGAAAGGGAAACGCUUGAAGUCAGUCGCGUUGUCCAGGGAUCAACCUUGCUUUUGCUUGGUGCACUUUCUGGUUGACGGGUCAGCAUCAAUUUUGACUAUUGGAAAAAGGUCAAGGGAAUGUGGCAUCUUCGGAUGUGUUAUAGCCCUUGGUUGCAUACAAUGGUUGGGAUUGAGGAACUCAGCACGCCGCAAGGCCGGGUUUUUAACCACGUACGUGCUUAGGAUGCUGGCAUAAUGGCUUUAAUCGACCCGUCUUGAAACACGGACCAAGGAGUCUAACAUGCCUGCGAGUGUUUGGGUGGAAAACCCGAGCGCGCAAUGAAAGUGAAAGUUGAGAUCCCUGUCGUGGGGAGCAUCGACGCCCAGACCAGACCUUUUGUGACGGAUCUGCGGUAGAGCAUGUAUGUUGGGACCCGAAAGAUGGUGAACUAUGCCUGAAUAGGGUGAAGCCAGAGGAAACUCUGGUGGAGGCUCGUAGCGAUUCUGACGUGCA
rnacentral:rRNA from 1 species